rnacentral:lncRNA from 1 species
GUAAAAUUCACAGCAAGUCAUAGAACCUCUUGGAACCCCAGUUUCCACAUCUGGAAGAAGGGGCAGAAUAGUAUCAAAAAUGCUUCACUCCCAGGAAUGUGGUGAGCAUAAAAUUAAAUAAUGAAAAAGUCAACUAUAAAGCACUAAAUAAAUAUAAGAUGGUGAAUCUGACAGAGGAAGAAUUAAAUGACUUGUUCAAGGUCACCUUUGAGGAAUUUGCAGGAAGUUUAACUUAUGGGCCUAAUGACAGGAAAACAAAUGAAGUGGAUCCCCAUCUUCCACCCUUGCCUCCGCUAAGCCAUCAGAGGACAAGUUUCCCACCCCACUCUCUCCAAUUUCACUUGAAAAAUAAAACAGGCCUCCAGCUGUGAAAUGGAUUAUGCUCUACAACUAUGUACCUGGAAUAGAAGCCAUCAUUCUUCAUGAAGUUUGCUGAGAAUUAUGUAUCGCAGCCUGGCAGCUUCCUGUUCCCUCGUUAGCCUGCAUAUCCCACUUAACGAAAGAUUCGCCAUGCACUGACUUGUAUGUGACUCACAGUGUGCACAGUAUGCACUGACUGUGACCUGUCCCCAAAUGAACACAGUACCAGUCUAACGUACCACCUUACCUAUGGCUCUCUCCCAUACACACCCAAUCCACUGCAGGCAAAUGAUCUACCCACAAUCUCCCAAACACAGUCUUCACUGUCUGGUCACUGCUCCUUUACACGUGGCAUUCACUCUGCUUGCAGAGGCAUUUUAGAGUGGAUAUCUAAAGAAGGAGAUUUCUCCCAAGCAUGCACAUAGGAGGGCACUGGUCUGAUGCUCUGAUUGACAGUUCACUACUGCAAAGAGGACAGAUGAGAAAGCAGCUCAGCUCUUUGAUGCUAAGGAAAAAACACAGAACCUCACUUAUCUAUAUGUAAUCACAAACUUUAGUAUCCAUCAGUACCAAGCCAAAAUAGUUCCUGUUUGGACAUACAUUAUUAGAAAUUAACAACAAAAUUUAGUAAAUGGUUGGCCAGUUCUGAACGCAGAAUAGCCACCUCUGAGUGAGCAUUUUGAUCAAUCUAACUCACACAUUUCUGGUUCAACAAAGUUAUUAGAUGAGAAGACCCAAAACGGUGUGUAAAUGGGACACAGAUUUAUAAACAGUUAAUUUAUAAUCAUAUAUGGCAAAUUAACCUGUAUGUCACUAAUGUGCCACCAAUCAUAAGACAUGCCAUCAUUUAAUCUGUCAUGAAGAAGUGAAAAACUCAAUUAAACGGUGACAUCAUGCUUCCUGAUUAGAAAUGUUCAUUUUUUUGUUAUGCUAAAUUUACAUAAAUACAUAUUUAUUUAAACAACACGGGGCCACAAUAUGAACAUCUAUGCCCAAGUUUCUGCAUGCCCAGCAAUGACUGCCACCCUGACAAUGGUGACUGAUAUCAUCAAGUGUAACAUGCAUCCUGAUUCAAGUUGUUCAACUGUGACACAACGGGUACCUUAGCACUGAUGAAAUAUGGUACCCGCCUGCGUCACAUGAGCUUCUCAUGAUCCAGCAGCCUCUCCUCACCUGACACUGGCUCUAGUCCCCAGUAAUGACUCUGAUCCUGUUUGUCCUAGGAGUCUUCUCUUCCUUUGUUUCCCACUUCCCUCACUGGGCUACUCAGUAACCAGUUAGCUGUUAAGGCGCAAGCCUUUUUUUAUUUUAAUUUUUAUUUUUUCCAAAACUCCUCAACAAUUGCAAUUGCCACUUUGUUUCUACUAUUAUUGCCCUUGACUUAUUUCUUUAUUUAUUUAAGUUUCUUUUGUUUUUAAACAAGAAGGCUGGGUACAGUGGCUCGUGCAGAU